rnacentral:rRNA from 1 species
GACGAACGCUGGCGGCGUGCUUAACACAUGCAAGUCGAACGGAAAGGCCCUGCUUUUGUGGGGUGCUCGAGUGGCGAACGGGUGAGUAACACGUGAGUAACCUGCCCUUGACUUUGGGAUAACUUCAGGAAACUGGGGCUAAUACCGGAUAGGAGCUCCUGCUGCAUGGUGGGGGUUGGAAAGUUUCGGCGGUUGGGGAUGGACUCGCGGCUUAUCAGCUUGUUGGUGGGGUAGUGGCUUACCAAGGCUUUGACGGGUAGCCGGCCUGAGAGGGUGACCGGCGACAAUGGGACUGAGAUACGGACCAGACUCCUACGGGAGGCAGCAGUGGGGAAUAUUGCACAAUGGGCGGAAGCCUGAUGCAGCAACGCCGCGUGCGGGAUGACGGCCUUCGGGUUGUAAACCGCUUUCGCCUGUGACGAAGCGUGAGUGACGGUAAUGGGUAAAGAAGCACCGGCUAACUACGUG